UCAAUCACAACUGGAAGUGCAACAAUGCCUCCACAAAUACGACUCUACUAUUGUGACAAGUACUUGCCGAUCACAAUGAUAGCACUACCACAACAAACACUGCACCAAGAGCUUCUACAAUUAUGAGCAAUAUAAAUCCUACAUUGUCUUUAAUUACUGUGAAUACUUCUUCCACAAGAACUACAUAGUCAAGGCAACUUCUCUAUUAGUUGUACAACUAGCUGCAGGUGCUAUGGCGAAUACACUGUAAACUACAGACCCUUCUACUGCUGGUACACUGGACUACAAGUACUGCACUACUACAAAUAGCAGGACUGCAUCUCCUCUAACCUCCGUAAUGCUAUUUUAAGUACAAAAACAACUAGGGUACUUUUAGGUAAAAAAACAAUCUCCCAUGGAGUGUGCGACCAUGUGCUCACGCUAUUUAAACAAGCAACUGCAUGUGACGCUGUAAUUGCAUGAGAGCAGCGUGAAGCAGGUGAUGCUGGUCCCCUCGGCAGAGUUGCCCACUCACUAAACUUAAAUAGCUCCACCAUUAUUAUCUCUCACCUGUCAACAGCCAUCGUCGCCAUAGCAACUGGACAAAACACGGGGACCUUGGAGCAAACAGUGUAGAUGAAUUUCAAGUCAAGCUGUAGAAGAAAAUCGACAGUGAAUCAGCAGCUUCAUCCAAGAAAGUUUUCAAUGCUGACGUUUUGUCAGGCAACACUCGAGCGUCUCAAGUCUGCCGGGAUCUGUGUGAAAGUUCAAAGCGUUACCACCACUGGAGAUGAAGCCCAGUCACUGUGUGAUGUACUGUACCGCUUCCACAUGGAGCCUUAGCUCUCCAGUAGAAAGAAGCAAAGAAAAUGAGUGAAAUCCACAACGAGGGAUAACUGAAGGAAGGACUUCAGACGCUACAAGUCCUUGCACUUCGCGUCAUCGUCAUGAAGAGACUCUGCUUCCUGUCGAGACCGCAGUAUCUCUGCAUCAACAGCAUGGAGCCACGGCGCAAAAGCAGCUUCCUCUGGGGGAAAUCUCCUCUCAAAACGACUGCAGUGGCGCCAAAGACCGUCGAGUUCUCGGAAAACUUUCAGAGGCUGCGGCUGGAGAUCAACGAGCUGAUGGCCGAAAUCCAAGACCCUGAACCAGAGAAGCAUAUCAAACAUCUCUUAAGAUACAAACAACUUCUAUAUGGAAAGAAGAAAUUCAACAUGGAUCCCAAAUCAGGAAUCCGCUACCUGGUUGACAACCACCUUCUGGACUGGCAGGCUGAGUCCAUCGCUGAGUUCCUCUACAAAGAAGAGGGACUGAACAAGACGGCCAUCGGACAUUUCCUGGGAGAGAGAGAGGAAAUGCAUCUGGCAGCAAUGUCAGCGUUUGUGGCUCUUCACGAGUUCUCGGACCUGAAUCUGGUGCAGGCGCUGAGGCAGUUUCUCUGGAGCUUCCGUCUUCCAGGAGAAGCUCAGAAGAUCGACAGGAUGAUGGAGGCGUUUGCGUCACGCUACUGCGACUGCAACCCUGGAGUCUUCCAGUCCACGGACACCUGCUACAUCCUGUCCUUCUCGGUCAUCAUGCUCAACACAAGUCUCCACAACCCAAACGUGAAGGACAAACCCAGCCUGCAGCGCUUUGUCUCGAUGAAUAGAGGCAUCAACAACGGCGAGGACCUUCCCACCGAGCUCCUCGCGAAACUGUACACAAGCAUUCGCAGCGAGCCAUUCAAAAUCCCAGAAGACGACGGGAACGAUCUCACGCUCACCUUUUUUAACCCGGACCGGGAAGGCUGGCUCCUGAAGAUGGGAGGACGAGUGAAAACGUGGAAGAGACGCUGGUUCAUCCUCACAGACAGCUGCCUCUACUACUUCCAAUACACCACCGACAAAGACCCGAUUGGGAUCAUUCCUCUGGAGAACCUCUUAAUCAAAGACGUUCAAUACACCAGCAAGCCGUUCUGUCUGAAGCUGUACAACCCCAGUGGUCAGAAGAUCAAAGCCUGUAAGACGGAGAACAGAGGUCGAGUGGUGGAGGGAAAACACCGCUGCUACAAGCUUAGCGCCGCCAGUGCGGAUGAGCGGGACGACUGGGUCAGAGCCAUCAGGUCGAGUGUCUCCAGGAAUCCAUUCUACGACCUGGUUUCUGAGCGGAAGAGGAAAGUGGUCAGCAGCAGCGGUGAAGGGUCAUCUCAGCAGGAAACCUGAAUCAGGAAGUGGUUUUCUUUUUCACUUUACAAGAGUCUCUUUGACAUCACUGUCGCACUUUGACGGCACAGCUUUACAAACAUUCGCCUUGAGAUGCUUUUAAUAAUCAUAUACAUCACGUGGAUGAAGAACUGGAUAUAAUUCCGAGUGAUUGUUUCGAUGAAAUGUCAUAAAUCUUUUGACCAAAAGGCGGCGCUGUUUGCUUGAAAGUAAAAAUGUCUGCAUGACGUCUCACGCGACUUUGAACCCGCAUAAAUAAUAUAAUAACUCACUUCAAAAGCAAAAAGCACAGCUGAAUUAGUUUAUUUAUCAUUGACCAUAGUUUCUUUUUGAUGCACAUCUUCAAAAUGGAAAGGAAAACACAGCUGUUAUUGAAGCCUCCUUCCAAAUCAUGUUGUUCUUUCACUGAACUUUCAUGGAUGAAAUAUCACACUGCGAGUGACGUAAACCAAUUUCAGUUUUUGAAACUUUAAAGGUGCAUCAGCAUUUAUGCAACGUCAAAUGUGAGAUUUAAGAAAUGGCCUGAAAUGACGGUUAACGCUUUAAUCAAGGUUCAUGUGGAUUGAAAGUUUGUUAAACACACGAAUAAUUGUUGAAAAAUAAGCAAUAAAAAUUAUGCUAAAAACAGUCAGGAGUAGAAAAGGUUAUUAUAAAGCAUAUUGAUACAACAAUUGUUUGACAUGAAUUCAACAGAUUUCGACGGAACUUAUCGUAAUAAAAAGUCCAAACAAAGACUUCAGUCGAUGUACGAGACCUGUCAGUCUCCGUGGCGACCAGCAGCGAGUGUGAUGUUACGGCUGCUCAGCUCAGUCCGAGCGCUGGCAGCUGUGAACAGUAUGGUCCGCUUUCCUGUGACAGUGCUCAUUCCCAUCAUGCUCAGCUGUGUUUCGUGGAUGCUGUUUGACUUUGUCACGAUUGAAUACAAUUCCUCUUCUGUUGCCGUUGCCGACGGUUAUGGAAUCCUGUUGGCAGAAACACAAACAUAAGUCAAAUGAGAAGUGCAAGCAGUGAUGUGAUGUGAUCUGAUGUUUAUCCGACUCUUGAGAAGGAGCCUGUGUUGUUACAUCCUCCAGUGCGUCAAUAUUUAUCCAGCCCGAGAUGGAAAUCUGAUGAAAGUACAGUGCUGUAACAGGUUUUUAAUCUGCUCCUCUCUUUUCAGAACUUAAACGCUUAAACGGCACUUGAACAUGAAUGAAAUAAAGAAACUUCUGCAGCAUCACCCUCGGCCCACCUGUCGAGUUUUCAUUAGCAUUGUAGCUAUUUUCAGUUGUUUGUUUUCCCUGCUAAUAUUUAGGAGCUGACCUUCUCAAUUUGACUAACAAGCUCUCAGCAUUGUUUACAGCUAAUAUUAGCUUGUCCCUUCUGUGCUCUUCUGUUCGCUGCAUUUUACCUUAUUACAGUUUUUUACGCUUUUUUUUCUUCUUAGAUUUCCAGUACGACUUCUUGGGAACAUUUGAAACUACUCAAGUGGUUUGCUUUAUGUGUGUUACCUCCAAUAUCUUUACAGCCUGGCUUUCAUGUCUAAUUGCUAACCUUGUUUUAGCAUUUUCUUUUUGCUUCUGUUUGCCACUUUUCCAGCCCAAGCUUCCCAGUUUACAAGCUUAUGUCAGCUAAUCUAUCUUGUUGACCUACACUUGGAAACUCCCUGUCUUUGUUAAGUAACGCGAGCGUUUCCUUCUCUCGCCAUGUGCUAGCCUCUGCUAGCAAUGAUAGUCAUCUUGGCAGUUCAACCCAACAACUUUAGCUCUUAAUUACUCAUGUUUUCCUCCUCUACUUCACUGUUGCUGCUACUGUUCCAUCAUGUCUCUGUCACCAAUUGAACUUUUUCUUUACUCUUGCCAGCAUUUUAUCCUCUCUUAGUUGCCUUUUUGCCUAUUGUUCACUCGUGUUUACAAAACGUAUCACCUGUUCCGACUUUAAUUGACAAGCCGUUUGACCAUUUGGCUUUUGUUAGGACUCUUUGUAAAUCUGAACAAGCCUUUAUUCCUGUUUGGCAGGCGCAGUUGGUGUCUUUGGGUUACGUCUCAGCCAUUGUUCCACAGCUUGCACUGUUCCCUUCCCCCAGGAUAUGUGCCAACAUUCGUAUUUAUUUGGCCUUGAUGUUUCUUGUUUUUAGGCCACUACUUUUCCAGUUCUGUCAGGUGUUUCAGUGUCUUUCUGCAUUUAGAAAAGCUUGAGAAAGCAGACUUUUCUCUUCUCUAAUUUUGGCUCAUGUUUACAAACUGCUAGCUUUUGUGUGACUGCAUUUGUGUGUUGGCUUCCGGGAGCCAGCAACGCCCUGAGAUAUCAAGCGGGGUCAUAUUUUUCUUUGCUUAUGAGCGAGUUGACUUUGCUCCACGUGUUUCUUUUCUUGGCUUCCAGUUUCACAGGCAAAAACAUUUGGUUCUUACUGUCUUCGUCUCCCGUGUUGAGGAUCUGCAUGGACAUGCUCCUCUGGAUGGGUUUGGAGGGUUUCUUGGGUCUGGGUUUGAGCGGAGCCAGCUUCUCGUUAGCCUCGAACAAGUCCUCCGGCUCGUGUUUUGCCACGCCGUUCGUUUCCGGAACUCUAUGCUUUGGAGGCGGAGCUGUCUGCGUGACCACGCCCUCCACUAUUGUCUCUGGAUUCUGAUUGGCGGCUCGAUUUCUCAGGAAGUGCCUGAAGGAGCUACGUGGUUUCUUAGCAUUGUCCAGCUUCUUCACACCACCCUCCACGUCCUCAACCCCAGGAGGUGAGCUGGGACUCAGUGGGGGGACUGAGUCCUUCUCCUCCACACUUGGGUUCUUUUCGUUCCUCUCAUCGAACUCGUCCUCCAGGACCUUCAUGUCGACCUGCCUCGACUCCCCAACAGACACCUGGAAGCGAGACGUGGAGACCGGGAGUGUCCGAACGGGUUCCACUUUAGGCUUCCUGACUGGCGUUGGUAGAGGAGGCUUGGUGAUGUUGAACUCCCUGUAGAGGUCGACUUGAUCUGACACGGCGUACAGCUCCCGGAAGUCAUUGUCAAAGAAGUCGACGAUCUGUCCCGUCAUCACAGUGAUGGUGUUCCGGUCCAUCCGAGAGGAAGUCCAGGUGAAGCUGAGGAGAAGAAGAGGAGCGUGAGCCAAGCGAUACGGACAGACAAGUGUCAGCCUCAUGUUUCUCAUUGGUUUCACAUGAUGCAAGACGGCACUGAAUGAAAAUAAUAAUGAGGUCACCAACACUGCGGCUGUGAAGCAACAGUUGGUGUUUGACGUUCAAUCUCCACUGCCUCCCUCCCUUCAUUCAUAGCCUCUCCUCAAACAUUGACACAGCACUCAGCCUCUCCUCUCGUCCACAGGUGG